rnacentral:lncRNA from 1 species
GUCGCGCUUUAAUUUCUUUUCGAUUUAGAGUAAGAUGACUUAGCCCUCCCCCCCUCAGAAAUUAUUUCAAGUUGUGGUCGAUUUACGGUCGCUAUGUGAGAACAGAUGAUGCUACAAGUUUUCGAAGUUUUAUAUUUUUACUAUGUAUGUCAAACUUACAUGUUCAAAAUAAAAAGACGAAGAAGAGGAGAGGUUUGGAUUUAAGAAUUUGAAAAUUAUCGAAUUCGAAUCCUGACGGGAACCCAAAAUUAUUAAUAUACAGGAAAUUAUGAAAUCAUUGACUGGUAAUGUUGCACUAUUUCACUAUGACAUGCUCGGUUGUGUGAAAGUAAUGGAUUUAGAGCAAAACAUCUAGCUGCAAUAUCUGCAAUAGUUGGAGACAUCACAACUUCACAGCAGGGAUGACGCCAUUACACAGCGCAGACUGCCAGUGGGCAUUCUCCAGUCGAAUGGUGAGUGUAACACAGCCUGGAAAUUCAAGUUCAGAGUGAUGCAAUGAAUAGCACUAGGAAAAAUAGUUUAUACCAAGUCAUCAAAAGUAUGGCAUUGCACGUUCAAGCUUGGCAGCAUUUCAUAUUCACUGUGCAUACCUCUUACCACGGUUAAAUGCUAAAACAUACUGCAAUUUACAGGAAGAAAUCUGCAAGCGGAGCAAAAGAAAGGCUGGUUUAGGUGCUUGUGUCCACGAUGGUUCUACGUUUUCCCAUCUAGCACUCUGAAACUCUAAACUUAGAGAAGACGAAUUUGAUACGAGAAGUGUGGCUCUUAUGCUUCACAUUCAUAAUAUUUAGCUGUUUCUGUUAGCAGAUGAUGUUGUCUAAGUUGCAUUGACCGUGGACAGAAAAGAAAUUGUAAUCACCAUGUACCUGUCUAACCCCAAAAAUCAUCUGCAGACAAAGGACACUGUACGGGCACUAAUUUUCGUAGAAGUAGCAAAUUUAAAUGGCUCAAUGAAGGGUGCGAAGGCUUGUCCUCCACACAUAAUUGGCAAGUCGGUCUGCAAAACUGACAUAGAAUUGUUAGAAGGAAGAAGUAUGUAGCAUCUUCUGUUCUUCCACCAGUAUUUGAAAUGAUUGAGGGA